rnacentral:rRNA from 1 species
UACGUAGGGGGCUAGCGUUGUCCGGAUUUAUUGGGCGUAAAGAGCGUGUAGGCGGCCAGGUAGGUCCGGUGUGAAAACUCGAGGCUUAACCUCGAGAUGUCAUCGGAAACCAUUUGGCUAGAGUCCAGAAGAGGAGAGUGGAAUUCCUGGUGUAGCGGUGAAAUGCGCAGAUAUCAGGAAGAACACCAAUGGCGAAAGCAGCUCUCUGGGACGGUACUGACGCUGAGACGCGAAAGCGUGGGGAGCGAACAGG